ACGGAAGGCAGCAGUAGGGAAUAUUGCACAAUGGGGGAAACCCUGAUGCAGCGACGCCACGUAUGGGAAGAAGCAUUUCGGUGUGUAAACCACUGUCGUGAGGGAAUAAGGCAUUGUUUCGGCGAUGCUGAAUGUACCUCGAAAGGAAGCACCGGCAAACUUCGUGCCAGCAGCCGCGGUAAUACGAGGGGUGCAAGCGUUGUUCGGAAUCACUGGGCGUAAAGGGAGCGCAGGCGGAGAUGCAAGCGGACUGUACAAUCCCGGGGCCCAACCCCGGACCUGCAGUCCGGACUGCACCUCUUGGAUAGUUCAGGGGCAAGCGGAAUUCCUGGUGUAGCGGUGGAAUGCGUAGAGAUCAGGAAGAACACCGAUGGCGAAGGCAGCUUGCUGGGGACUUAUCGACGCUCAUGCUCGAAAGUGCGGGUAGCAAACAGGAUUAGAUACCCUGGUA
rnacentral:rRNA from 1 species